AUUGAACGCUGGCGGCAGGCCUAACACAUGCAAGUCGAGCGGAUGAAGGGAGCUUGCUCCUGGAUUCAGCGGCGGACGGGUGAGUAAUGCCUAGGAAUCUGCCUGGUAGUGGGGGACAACGUUUCGAAAGGAACGCUAAUACCGCAUACGUCCUACGGGAGAAAGCGGGGGACCUUCGGGCCUUGCGCUAUCAGAUGAGCCGAGGUCGGAUUAGCUAGUUGGGGAGGUAAAGGCUCACCAAGGCGACGAUCCGUAACUGGUCUGAGAGGAUGAUCAGUCACACUGGAACUGAGACACGGUCCAGACUCCUACGGGAGGCAGCAGUGGGGAAUAUUGGACAAUGGGCGAAAGCCUGAUCCUGCCAUGCCGCGUGUGUGAAGAAGGUCUUCGGAUUGUAAAGCACUUUAAGUUGGGAGGAAGGGUUGUAGAUUAAUACUCUGCAAUUUUGACGUUACCGACAGAAUAAGCACCGGCUAACUCUGUGCCAGCAGCCGCAGUAA
rnacentral:rRNA from 1 species